UAGAUUAAAGCGCCAGAACUUAAAGUUUUAUUGAUAGACUAAUAAGUAAUUUAACUCUAGUAGAUUAAAAUAUAUUAGAAUUCUUAAGAGUUUAAGUUGACGAGGUUGGGGAGUAUCGAAUUUUCGGCGGAUGCCCCACGGUAAAGCACUACCGUAAAAGAUUGGUUAAAACUUAAAAGUGAUUUUAAGGACAAAGCCAAUUG
rnacentral:ncRNA from 1 species